rnacentral:lncRNA from 1 species
GUGGAAGGGCAGGAAGAGACCCUCACCGUCCACAGCAGCGGGACCCAGCACCUCCUGCUGCUCCUCUGGGUUUGGGGGGAUCUCCCCCAGGGGGAUCUCCAUCGCAGCCAAGUCAGAACCAAAAUUAUCCACAGUGUCUGCGUCCUCUGUAACAAGAAAGCAUUAGAAACCUCCUCUACAUGCUGGCAGCCAGCAGAGAGACUUGGGGAAAAAAAGAAAAGGUUGUUAAUAAUAGUAAUGGAGGCACCUUUGCCUUUCACCUACCCUUUCCAUCUCAGGAUCUAAAGGACUGUAGCCACAAUAAUGCAAUGAAACUCCCUCCCCCCCAGGCAGGGUGGGAUGUUGAGGCCAAGAAAGAUUAAAUUUCCUUUCCACGGCCAUUCAUCAACCCUUGCUUCCCUCCACACACUGUCUAGCACUCUCUAGGCACAACCCCCUCUUACUUUUAUAUGCUGAAGGAUGGCAUUUAUAUCUUGCCAGGACACAUGGAGCAACUUGUGCCAAAUAAUGCAAAGCAAAAAACUGAACACGAGAUUAAAGGUUUCCUGCCUGGCAGGUGCUCCAGGACCCGAACACACUCACCAUCCGCAGCCGCAUCCUCCAGUGCCUCCUGGUGAUGCUGGGCUGAGUGGGUUUCUGCUGGGGCGAGGUGAGACUUCAGCUCUUCGGCAGAGCCCCGCUUCCCUAAAAUCAAUGGGGAAAUGCGUUUUGUUUCAGGAAGUUUCCUGGAGACCUGGAAAACUCAGUUCUGGGUCGUCAAUGGGACAGAAUGCACCUUAACUAGCUGCAUCAGGGAGAGCUCUGCUCGUUGUUUUUUUUGGAUUUAUUAAAAGACACCAGACCUUUUAUUGCUCAUCAUUGCAGCAAGCACCUGAAACCCGAAGGCAGCCUUAGCACGGUGCCCUCUGUGGAGUUCGUGCUCUGAGGCUCAGGAAGGAGAUUGGGAAGGAGCCAGGGGAAUAAAAGCAGCAUUGGGGAGAGCCCCAGCCCGCAGUGCAGCUGCAAGAGCCGUGCCUGCGGGAUGUGCUGGCUGCAGGGGCUCCGCAACCUGCAAACCUCCACGAGGGAGAACCCUUCAGGAUCCCUGGCUGCACGGGGAGAGAAAACGGCACAGAAAGGCGGAGAGCGGCCGGGAGCGUGCAGACAUCACCAUCUAGCGGUCCCUGAAGCCGGCAGCCUCGGCAGAGCCCAGCAUUUGCAGGUUCGGCAGGGCUGGAGUUAUUUUAUCAGCA